UACGGGGGGGGCAAGCGUUGUUCGGAAUUACUGGGCAUAAAGGGCGCGUAGGCGGUUGGAUAAGUCAGCUGUGAAAACCACGGGCUUAACUCGUGGCCUGCAGUUGAGACUGUCUGGCUUGAGUGUGGGAGAGGAGAGUGGAAUUCCUGGUGUAAGCGGUGAAAUGCGUAGUAUAUCAGGAGGAACACCGGUGGCGAAGGCGGCUCUCUGGACCACAACUGACGCUGAGGCGCGAAAGCUAGGGGAGCAAACAGG
rnacentral:rRNA from 1 species